rnacentral:tRNA from 1 species
GGCGCGUUAGUCCAGCUGGUUUAAGACGCCGCCCUCUCAAGGCGGAGAUCACGGGUUCGAAUCCCGUACGCGCUACCA